CAAUAGUAUGGAUUUUGCAAAAUUGCAAGCUGCCAGAUUUCUCUAAGAAGCCAGCAAUAUUGAAAUGCUGCAAAUACAUCAAUCGAUAAUAUUCCAAAUUAUUGAACUGCCCAUUUUUCUGUGUCCCCUUCUUCUCCUCCCUCGGUCAGGACUCCAUUAUAAAUCAAAUCUGCUGCUGACUUAAUCAAUGGGGUUCAUAAGAAGCUGUAAUAACAGAACCUUCUCCAUUAACAAGAGUCAAUAGAAGAGAUCCAAUAUCAGCAUGAGGAAUGGAUCUUGCAGCAUAAAUAUUCUUAGCCGCUAAAAUGCUGUCCCGUGCAUUAGAAUAAAUUUUAAUAGAGUAAUGAGCUAUAGCAAAUCAUUUGCUACAGGUUAAUAAGUAGGUUGUGCAAUGGAUCAUCCACCAUAGAAAAGGCAAUCAACAACUGCAGAGGCUCUCCUGAGUAUUAGCCUGGCACAAAGGCUACCAAGGGCUACUAGAGUUUCCUUCAUUCAAGCAGCAUACAAAAUUGAUGAAUAAAUCAAUACUCAGUCUGAAUCGUGAGGAUUCCUGUAUAAAGGAAAGGAAGGAAAAAAAAUAAGAAGAAAUGACAAAAUCCCCCUGUAAACAGACAAGCCUCAGAAACUUUCCCAGAAAUUUAAUGGCAAAGAAGAAAAGACUCUGUCUUUAUUUAUGUGAUCUGGCACUACGGAGACAAGCAGAAAUAUGGCUAAGCUGCAUUUUACAGAGAUGUAAAAGGAAUGAACAUUAUCUUGCCGAAGAAUGAAAAGCUAAAAGAAAUGAGAACUGCUCCAAAUGUCACAUCUGGUACUUGCUGAUUGACCUUUUAGAGGGAUAAUUUAACCGAAGACACAUUGGGUAGCUACACUAGGUAGCUGUGGAUUUUCUCUUGAGCUUUUACAUCUUGUAUAAAAGAUAACACUCCUCUAAAAUUCAAGUAGUAAGGCAGGCACUUUCCUGUGUGUUGCAAUAUUCCUAUGUGCUAGAAAAAAAUAUGGAAUUUCAUAUACUGAAGGAUCUGGAAAAUGCCCUUGUUCUGCUGUUCAAAACUGGAAAAGCCUGAGCCAAUUCAUUAUCUCUGGCACCAGCUCAAGCAUUUGGCCAAGUUAUUUUUAAUUGUGUAUUAUAUGCUCUGUUGCCAGUGACUUCAUCCAUCAUAAGAAGAUGACUAGCAACUAUGGUUGAUAAUAUUAAAAUCUUCUACUGUCUGGUAGGAAGUGGCAUUUUAAAACAAUUUUUCUUCCUCUGAAACCUUUCUCUCCAAAUGUCCAUAUUACAAAACAUUUAUUUUUCUUUCCCUUCACCAUGAAAAAAACAAAGCUAUAUGAUUUUUUUUAUCCAGCUCAUCUCACUGUGUGAUAUUUGAUAAAUCAAACUGAAAGUUCCUUAAUUGUAAAUUGAACUAUAGUUUCCUCACACAAUAAUGUAGUAUGUGGUUUUAUUUGACUUAUCAGGUAGUGCACGGCUUGACCCAUGCUGUGAUCUUGUGAUGGCAACUAUAUCACAUCUUACACAGUGGUCAGAUUCAAAUAUAUAAACAACCGGUUCUCUGUGUGGAUGCCGCUUCCAGAAGUCCGUUCUGGGCCUGGGUAACAAAAAAUUAGCUACUGGUUCUGCAGAACUGAUGCGAACUGGCUGAAUCUCACCACUGAUCUUACACUUAAGAAUUCUAAAGAUUUGGAUUUUGCUAAUCCACUUGCAUCUAUUAGUUUGUCUGCCCACAGCACAAGUUAAUCAAGGAACUGUAUUUUCAUCUUUGAAAUAUCAGAGAAUGCUGUAUUUGCUUAUUAGAACUAGGUCUUACUCUUAAGCCAAGCAAUUCAUUUUAAAUCUGGAGCUAUUUCUUUUACCUCCCAAUCAUCACUUGACUUCCCAGCCUAAAAACUGAGAAGACAAGCCUUUGACAGAAUAUUUCUUCUUUCUUUUUUUCCAGUUCUCAU